AAGACUGACGCUAAGGUGCAGAAAGCGUGGGGAGCAAACAGGAAGAUACCCCUGGUAGUCCACGCCGUAAACGAUGUCGACUUGGAGGUUGUUCCCUUGAGGAGUGGCUUCCGGAGCUAACGCGUUAAGUCGACCGCCUGGGGAGUACGGCCGCAAGGUUAAAACUCAAAGAAUGACGGGGGCCCGCACAAGCGGUGGAGCAGGGAAAUUCGAGCAACGCGAAGAACCUACCUACUCUUGACAUCCACGGGAANUCGGCAGAGAUGCCUUAGUGCCUUCGGGAACNNGUGAGACAGGUGCUGCAUGGCGUCGUCAGCUCGUGUUGUGAAAUGUUGGGUUAAGUCCCGCAACGAGCGCAACCCUUAUCCUUUGUUGCAGCGAUUCGGUCGGGAACUCAAAGGAGACUGCCGGUGAUAAACCGGAGGAAGGUGGGGGAUGACGUCAAGUCAU
rnacentral:rRNA from 1 species